rnacentral:rRNA from 1 species
CCUACGGGGGGCAGCAGUAGGGAAUCUUGCGCAAUGGGCGAAAGCCUGACGCAGCGACGCCGCGUGAGGGAUGAAGGUCUUCGGAUCGUAAACCUCUGUUAGCAGGGAAGAACGGUCCCUGUGCUAAUCAGCAGUGAAUUGAUGGUACCUGCAAAGCAAGCACCGGCUAACUACGUGCCAGCAGCCGCGGUAAUACGGAGGGUGCGAGCGUUAAUCGGAAUUACUGGGCGUAAAGCGCUCGCAGGCGGUAUAGUAAGUCAAGUGUGAAAGCCUCGGGCUCAACGGGAGAACUGCCUUUGAAACUGGUGAACUGGAGUGAGUGAGAGGAGAGUGGAAGGCCAGGGGUAGGAGUGAAAUGCGUAGAUAUCUGGAAGAACAUCAGUGGCGAAGGCGACUAUCUGGCCUACAACUGACGCUGAGGAGCGAAAGCGUGGGUAGCGAACAGGAUUAGAUACCCGAGUAGUC